AGCAGAACAAGGUGGACUACAAAUAGAAGGAAAAUUCAGUAAAGAUGGUGAUAGACGGGGAAGUGGUCGAAUGUUUCGAACAACUAGAUAUCUAAAUUAGCAGUAAAUAAUCGUUCGUGUUCCAGUCAACAUGUGAGUGGGGAUUCAUGAGUUUGCAGACGAUAGUAAUAAACACGUGUCAAUUUGGAAAGCGGGACAAAAAUCGGCAAAAACGAAGGUACGACAGGAUGCUUUGUUUAUGGAGAUCAGCUGUGUUACCAAACAUUCCUAUCGCUUUCGCUGCAGCGUCUACGACGCUUCUAUUUUCGUCGAAUAAAGAUGCUUGUGGAGCAACCGUUGACCGGUAGUUAAUUAUUCUUAAUGACAUGUGAGAAUGAAACGAGAAACUGUCAUUACCUGUGUAGAGCCAAACCGACGAGCAAAAACGAUGACGACGGUAUUGGAUGGCAGCUACCAACGUAUGGAGCCAUACGAUGGGGAAGAAGAGGAUGGAGAAGACGAUGAUGAACACGAGGAAACACCUCAGGAAUCUGGUGUUAUGAUACACGUAGUACCAGAAGGAAAUAAAGCUAGAUGGAACCAUAUUGAAGAUCUAGAUUCUUUUUUUACAAGAAUGUACCACUACCAUCAAAAACAUGGAUUCGCUUGUAUGAUACUCCAAGAAGCACUUGAACUAGGACAAUUCAUUUUCGUAGUUACUUUUUCAACUUUUCUCUUUCAUUGCAUCGAUUACUCCGUAUUGUUCAAGAACAAGCCCCAAACAUCGCACAAAACGUCGAUAAGCGACGUGAUUUUACCAACGAGCGAAUGUGUAGCAUCUAUGGGUCUGGUUACUUGGAUCUGUAUUUUAGUAGCCGCGAUUUUUUGGAUUUUACGAUUAGUAAAAGUUUUGUAUCAUUGCACGCAGUUUUGGGACAUAAAGUUAUUCUUUAAUACCGCGUUGAAAAUUGAAGACUGCGAUUUGGACAAUCUCACCUGGCACGAGGUACAAAAGCGAGUAAGAGAAGUGCAAAAAGAGCAGGAAAUGUGCAUACACAAAAGAGAGCUUACGGAAUUAGAUAUAUACCAUAGAAUAUUAAGAUUUAAAAAUUAUAUGGUGGCUAUGAUCAAUAAAUCCUUGUUACCCGUUCGACUUAAAAUCCCUGUUAUAGGAGAAAUUAUUUUCAUGACAAGAGGAUUGAAAUACAAUAUGGAGCUACUAUUGUUUUGGGGACCAUGGUCUCCGUUUGAAAACAAUUGGCAUCUCAAAGAAGACUAUAAAAAGUUAAACAAAAGACAAGAACUUGCAAGAGCACUAUCUAAACAUAUUUUAUGGGUUGGAGUAGUGAAUUUUCUACUUUGCCCGUUAAUUUUACUCUGGCAGAUACUCUAUUCGUUUUUUAACUACGGCGAGAUCAUCAAGCGAGAGCCAGGAACUUUAGGUACAAGAAUGUGGUCUUUAUACGGCCGGUUAUACCUCCGUCAUUUCAACGAACUUGAUCACGAAUUGAAUGCCCGUCUAAAUCGCGCAUACCGUCCAGCUUCGAAAUACAUGAGCAUAUUUACAUCCCCCAUUAUGACUGUUAUCGCGAAAAACGUUGCUUUCGUAGCUGGAAGUAUAUUAGCAGUUUUAUUAAUAUUAACUGUAUACGAUGAGGAUGUACUUACGGUGGAGCACGUGUUGACUACCAUGACCAUAUUGGGUGCUAUGGUCGCAGGAGCAAGGGCGUUUAUACCGGAUGAGAAUUUAGUUUGGUGUCCAGAGACUCUCUUAACUGCCGUCUUGGCCCAUACACAUUACAGACCGGAUAGUUGGCGAGGUCACGCUCAUACUCAAACCACGAGAGCAGAAGUAGCACAACUAUUUCAAUAUCGUGCAGUUCAUCUCUUAGAAGAAUUAAUUUCCCCUCUGCUUACACCAUUUAUUCUGUGCUUUCGGAUGAGACAACGGGCCUUGGAUAUUGUGGACUUCUAUCGUAAUUUCACGAUCGAAGUUACAGGCGUCGGGGACGUUUGCAGUUUUGCACAAAUGGACGUGCGCAAACAUGGCAAUCCAACGUGGCAAACGGUGACUCGAAGUCCUGUCAUAGAUCAGACUGGUAGAUACGAUGUUAACCAGUACCCCAUAGAUCCGGAAAAACUUCAAAUUCCUGUAUCGGAUCAAUAUACGCAAGCAGAAGACGGGAAAACCGAAUUGUCCCUUAUUCAUUUCACCUUAACGAAUCCCGAGUGGAAACCACCGAGUCACGCUGAGAAUUUCGUCGCAGCUUUAAGAGAAAGAGUGAAGAAAGAAGUGCAAGGUGGUAUACACGGUGAAAUUAAUCCCCUUUUGGCAAGCUUGAACAGUUUAUCUAGCUUGGAACCGGGUUACAAUGACAUAGUAUCGAACAUAAUUCGGAGCACAAUGGUAAAUCAGCCAGGUGGGCUAAGCACGAGUAAUAUGUUCUUGAACCAACCUGGUACCUCGACGGUUUCUGCCGCUGGGGAUGAACUGUUAAAUGUGAAAUCAGACAUUUUGCCGCAUGCCGUUCAAUGUGGUUUAAGCAAAGCCGAAGGGCCCGUACACAAUGAAAAAGGAUUUCUGUAUGGUUUGCAACAAGGAAUUUCGAAUCAGUCCCUAGGCGCCUCUGUUUUUGUAUCAAGCCAUGAGUUAUCCACUGAUUUAUCUGUACCGGUGGAGUUAAUCGCUGCCGAUAUGUCUCUGUCUACAUUGUACCUGCAUGAACUUCAUUAUAGACAAGUUCGAAGGAGGGGCUAUCAAGAAAUGGCUGCUAGAAGCAUAUGGCAACGAAGCCCUGUUCAAGAGCUUGCUACGCUUCCUGAAGUUAGACAAGAGAGAGCACCCUUGCUCUUACAUCAAGAUUCUUCUAUAAGAAACAAUAGAGAAUUUAAAUAUAACGUGAACACUCAUUUAGGUAGCAUCUGAAUCAUUCGUGCAGUGAUAUCGCCACUUUUAACAGAAUAAAAUAUUUUCAUUCGCUUAACGAUGCGAUGUCCUCGUGAUUUAUUUUAUAACAAGAGAAUAGCUAGAACGUUUAAGAAUCUGUGUUAUCGAUGUAAAUACAAUAUUGAAACGAUCUCGAAUGCCUAUUUUAAUCUAUUCGAAGGCCUACGCGUGUGUACAUUUUGCGCAUCAAAUUAUGAAUGAAACGCUUCCCAAAAUUGU